UACACUCCUGCGGGAGGCAGCAGUAGGGAAUCUUCCACAAUGGGUGCAAACCUGAUGGAGCAAUGCCGCGUGAGUGAAGAAGGUCUUCGGAUCGUAAAGCUCUGUUGUUAGAGAAGAACACGUGCUAGGUAACUACUAGCGCCUUGACGGUAUCUAACCAGAAAGUCACGGCUAACUACGUGCCAGCAGCCGCGGUAAUACGUAGGUGACAAGCGUUGUCCGGAUUUAUUGGGCGUAAAGGGAGCGCAGGCGGUCUGUUUAGUCUAAUGUGAAAGCCCACGGCUUAACCGUGGAACGGCAUUGGAAACUGACAGACUUGAAUGUAGAAGAGGAAAAUGGAAUUCCAAGUGUAGCGGUGGAAUGCGUAGAUAUUUGGAGGAACACCAGUGGCGAAGGCGAUUUUCUGGUCUAACAUUGACGCUGAGGCUCGAAAGCGUGGGGAGCGAACAGGAUUAGAAACCCCAGUAGUCCCA
rnacentral:rRNA from 1 species